GUCGAGAUGCGGCAGAGGCAGACAGCUAGGCACAGAGGAGCCGAGUUGUAAACUUUGCUUUUCCUGAUGCUGCCUACUGUCGCGCAUACGAAGAACAUUUCCUCUGUGUAGCCAGGAGCUGAGAUGCAGUCUGAAUGUGCACGGUGGCUUCUGACGUGGCAGCGUGAAUUCUCAGCUGGGCAGAGCCUAAGAGAUAUCAUCAUGGACGUGGCUUUUAAUGAUUUGCAGGGGAGAAAGAAAAAGAAAAAUGACAGCCCGUGGAGACGCCGAUUUGAGAAAGCAGCACAUUGUGGUUAUUGCCAAUUUGAAAUACUGGGUUUGUGAAGCCAAGCCCUGAGGGAGUAGCCGGGGAACUGAGAAAGAGAUCGUAGAUAAAGAAAUAAAAAUGACAAGCGUAAUGGAGGCUGUGCGAAGGGACUGUCAGAGCAUCCGUUCAUGGAUGGCAGUCCUGCCAGGCGGAGAUUGAAUAAUUCAUAGAUGGAAACUACCCUGCCUUCACCUUCCCAUUUAAACCGGGCAUGGGCUGAAUCUCUAAUAAAUUUUCAAGAUAAAGUAAAAUGCCAAUUUGAAUCUGAAGAGCUUUUAAAAGCAGAUGUCGCAUCCCUGAAUCUUUCAGUAUCUUUCACAAUUACGCUCCGAGGACUGCACUUCAUCAGGAAGCACCAUUACCAGGGAAAAUGACUGUGAUUACAAUAGCAACAAUAGAAUGCCAUCGAAUGAUCUCUAAUUUACCUAAUUUGCUAAGACUGACUGGCUUAAAUACCCAUUGUGAGUUGCUGGUGCCCUGUCCGUGGAUCUCUCUCAAGACGGAACAAAAGUGGUGGUGUGUGUGCUACCUUGGUUCACACAGUCUGGGGGAGAGCAUUCUUCUAAGUUACAGUGUCUCUUUCAUCAGCUUUUCAUCUUUGUAUUUUUAUAUUUAUAUUUUUUUCCCUAAUGCUCUGCCCUAAAUGCCUUUUGAGGGAAAACGGCAAGCCUGUCUUUGUUAUAGAACAGCAGUGACUUGUUAAUUUUUACACUUCUUAAAUUUUAAAAUCUACAAGAUGUGUCUAUUUGAGGAAAGGCUAGAUUCAGUGCUGGGAGAAAGGUUUAACAAGCCAGCUGGGAUGGUGUGUGUGUGUGUGUGUGUGUGUGUGUGUGUGUGUGUGUGUGUGUGUGUGUUGAGCUGUUUCCUUCCUAUAAAAUUAUUUUCCUGGAUCCCUGUGGUGUGUUAAGAUCCUCUCCGACUGUGAAUCUCAGGUUGCAAAGGCAGCAUCCACUCCACAUAGCUCUUUCAGAAAGCCUGUGUGCCUGAUUCCUUGAUGCAUCAAGGCUUUUAGGCUAUGUGUCUGUGUUUGUGCCUGCUCAGUGCACAGAAGUCUGUGCUAAAGAGACCUUUCUGUCUGGCAGAGUGCCCUAUUCGUUUUGAGGUGACGGUGCCAUUCUGAAGAGGUGGCACGGGCUCUCCAUCCUCCCUGGGGAACAGAACGGGAUCAUUUAGCAGACACUGGGGUUUCUGGAAUUGUCCUUAUAGCAUGGAGACAGCAUGUGGUUCACGCCAAUCAGCAUUUGAACACUUCAGGGAGGGACCGGAGGUAUGUAUGACAGCCAUUCGAGAAGAAGGUCCCAAAUCCCUCUCUUAAAAUUUUGGGAUUGUGCUUGGGACUUAGCCCUGAUGCGGUCCUUGGUAAUUCACUCGCUGGUUUACCCACAUUGUAUGCUCCCCCUACCUGCCCCUCCCUUGCCAUAAGGUAAGUUGUGUUUCUAGUCAUUUAUAUAAUUAGCAUGGUUGAUCCUUAUUGCGUAGGAAUGUGCUGUGGAUGGUGCCUUUUCUUCCCAUUAUAACUUAUACUUUUGUGUUUCUCUGUUUUCUGAGCACAUGUUAAAAUGCAGCAUUUUGAAGCCUGACUUGACUAUUGUAGGUUUUUUUCCCUCUUUCUUUUUUUCUUUCUGACUGAGUGCAUCCAAGGCUUUAAUAGUGUUUACAGCGGGGGGGGGGGCAGUUUUAUGUAGUGAACACUGCCUAAAAGCAGUAAGCAGUUCGCAGGCUAUCACUGCUGUUACCACUGCUGUUCUUUACAUAGCCUGCUCCAGAAAGAGGCUCUGCUAUGAGUGACAGCAGGGUGUGUGGAGGUCCACACUAUGCCUAUGCCAGCAUCACCUUCCCUUUUCCAUAAUUAAAGCGUAGUUUUGCUGAUCAGCAAGGGAGCUAGCUUCUGACACCUUCAAUCUUUUGAAGAGCCGGAGUUUCAACAGGAUUACCAUGGAGCGAGCCGAUUGGUUUGCUGUCCGAUAUUUAACAAAUACAAGUACCUUCAAGUUAUCCAAGAAUAAUUGGAAAUCAGGCUUGCCAUUUGGGGGACCCAUAACAAACCCAUUUUAGUUAUUGGGUAAGAAUAGCAAGUCGGGAGCUUAUGUUUUAAUGAUGAGAGGAUUUAGACGGCAGAGUCUUGGAAAAUGAGGGUGUGUUUGGUUUCUUUAGGCUGUGUAGGUACAAGGAUAUUAGUGUUUAUAUAUAAUAUCUGUAUUAUACCUACAGUAUAAUAUGAUGAUAUUAGUGUUUAUAUAUAAUAUCUGUAUUAUACCGACAGUAUAAUACAAGGAUAUUAGUGUUUAUAUAUAAUAUCUGUAUUAUACCUACAGUAUGCUGGUGCCUGCCCAAGUGGCACUUUUAUCCACUUUGCCUCAGGAACGUGGGACUGCAGAGUCCCUUAGAGAUUUCAGAUACCACUGCUUCUUUGAAGUCAAACUUUUCUUCGCAAACUUAUCAAAGUGAUUAUGCAUAAGUGAGCAUUUUUUUAAACACCUAAGUUGCAUAUUUUUAAUCUAGCAGUGAUAUCUUGUCACUCUCAUAGAUCCAUCUCACAGUGCUCUAGAUGCAGUGACUGACUGAGAGAUAUGGGGUGACUUUAUAACUGCACACAACCGCAAGUGAGGAAAUGCUGGAAACAUAUGUGAGCAGGAUUAAUUUAGGUCAUACCUAAGACAAGAAAUGGCUCCACCGUGUGUGUGUGUGUGUGUGUGUGUGUGUGUGUGUGUGUGUGUGUGUGUGUGUAAUUAUAUACAUAUAAUUGUUGUGGUUGGAUUUUUAUGAGCAUAAAACAGGUGCCAACAAUGCCCUGCUCCACACUUGUAAGGUCCCAACACUCCAGAGACUCAACUACAGUCAGAAAGAAUGACUGAAAGUUUAAAGCAACCCCCCUCCCCAAGAAACCCACUCAUAAAAGUUAUAGAAACGGAAAUGACCAACACUCUAGGACAGGACGUGUACAAUUUGUCAUUUGUUAAUUGGUUGUGUUGGACAUCUUUUCAUGAGUGUAUGCUACGUUCAUCUCAUUAUUGAAGUCCAGCUUGGAGGAUAAACCCAAACUGAACUGAACUGAGAUUCCUCACAGAGAACAUAUUAAUCUGCACUGAGCAUCUGAGCUACUUAGCGAAGCUCUGUGGAUGCGUUUCACAGAUCAUCAGACUAAAUAUUCAUCAUCAAACCUCGUGGCUGGGUUUCUCUAAUUGAAUUAUUUUACAAGAACAGCAGCGCGGUCCGUUUCCCUGAGUUUUAAGUGAGUAGUGUGAAAGUUGCCUUUACCAAUUUUUGUGCAGUCUUAAGUCUGGGAGGGAGAAAAGGGCAGGCACGAAUAAGAAGCAGGUAAAAACAACACUUUCAUCCCCUGGUUUUGACAAUGGUAAGGCCAAGAAAAGUUGGUUAUCUUAAGGUGAAGAAAAGUUAAGUUAUUUGAAGGCACAUGUGCCUGUAAUGUGUUGGUAUGUACAUGUGAGGGUAGGUCAAAAGAGUACGUCAGAUUCCCUGUACUGGAGUUACCAACAGUUGUGUGAUCCCCACGCUGUGCUGGGAACUGUGCUUUGGCCCUUUGCAGGAGAAGUAUGUGUUCUUAUCUGCUGGCUGAACUAUCCCUGCAGGCCUGAGGUUGGUAUCUUGUGUCUGUAGAGUGAUUUUUUUCUUUCUAAAUAGCUUGUUUUCUAUAGUA
ensembl:lncRNA